rnacentral:lncRNA from 1 species
GCCUGAAAGAGCGAGAGAGAGAGAAGGGGGUGGGCAGGCAAAAUAAGCCACAUGCAUAAGGAGGGAGCCAGAAGCACAGAGAGAGAGUGUGUAUGUGUGAAAACACUGCGCAUGUGUGACUGUGAGGUGCACUGACGGGAGCAGACGGAGGAGGAGAAAGAGCAGUGAUGAACGGCAGUGGAGCCAAGAGGAGAGAGAACAGCAGGGGAGACGGAAGGGAGGAGAAGUGAGGUUUACCUGAAAACCAGAAGAAAGGAAGGAAGGAAGGAAGAAAGAAAGAAAGAAAGGGAAGGAGACAUAUGAGAGUCACAGCACAGAAGCUCAUAUCAGUGCACAGAAUGAGCUAUAUCAUCUGAAGGAGGAAGAAGAAAAAAAGGGAUGGAGAAAAGGAUACCGGAGGGAGACGUUCAGCCACAGCUCGGAGGAGAAGGAACAGGGUUACUGGAGUGAAGGACAAAAGGUUCCAGAGAAACGAAUCGAGGGAUGUGGAGGUCGAUGAAAGUGGCCCAGAGACGUGAUGUAUCCACCUGGCAGCAGCUUCCUCCAUCUUACUUCCCCGUUGAUGCCUCCCUUCACUGCUGCUAGUCGCUGAUGCUUCUAGAAGAAGACUGAGAGGAGAGAGAGCGUCCUCCCUUGGACAAAGAGACCACACGGUUUGGUUUUACCUUCACAGUACGAACGAUAUCUCAACAAAAACGGAAAAACAGGAGCGUGGCGGCGACGCGGGACUGAAACAAGACAACUGCGUAGACAGGCAGGUGGAUGGACCAAAGGAAUCCGGUUAUUGGACUGAGGCACCAAACUGUUACCACUCUUUCUGCUUAGCUGGGACGACUAUCUGAAAGUCCAAAUAAACCACCCUUCACUCCCACCUCUGAGGAAUUCAGGAGCCUUGGAGGUUUAAAGAGUCAUUGGAACAGCUGUUAUUUUUUUUGGAGCAUUUUAUGGCACCUUCCAAUAAAAGGCCUCCUCGCUACUUCUUAUCACUGAGCCAGUUCAAUUCAACUUUAUUUAUAUAGCGCCAAAUCACAACAACAUUUGCCUCAAGGCGCUUACUGCAAGGGUCACACAGGGUCAGCUGACCAACCUGGACCAAGAAUUUAUUCUUUCGUUCUCACGCACUCAAGUUGAUGUGUAACACAUCCGCAGCCAAAAACAGGAAGCUAAGCAGUGGGGCUGAGCAAGAAACAUAUUUAAAGCCUUAGCAGGGCACAGGAUAUCGUUUCAGACAAUACCUCGUGGACCUUUCUGAACUGCCUGUAAUCAAACUCUCCACUAAACCUGUACUGUAUGUGUACAUGUGAGAAUCUGUGUGCAUAUGAGAUUAUUUAUUGGUGUUUAUCUCUGUGCUGAGCAGUUGUUGUGAGUGAAUAGCCAUCAGAGACAGCACAGAACCAUCAGCAUAAGUGAGUUAAAACAGCAACAAAAAAAAACUACCUUUAAGUAGUCAACACUGGUCCGAUACUGUAAGCUGGACUGUUAAGUCAUCUGUACAUAUUAGCUGUGACAGAAUAAGAGCUACAGAUUGUGGUGCUCUGGCAAAGCUCUCCUAUCUGUCUCCACCUCAUAAAGACUCAGGCUGACAACAGUGCCCACCAAGGGAGGGUGUGGGGGAUCUCUAAGGGAAACAUGGAGGGAACCAUCCGUCCCCAUGUCCCCUCUAAUGGCUGACUUCAAAGAAGGAGUCUAAUCUUUUUUGCCCUCGCACAGAACCAGGCAGACUUGUCUAGCGCUGAUAAGAGCCAUAGCUCCUCUCUUUC